UACGGAAGGUCCGGGCGUUAUCCGGAUUUAUUGGGUUUAAAGGGAGCGCAGACGGCUUCUUAAGCGUGCAGUCAAAUACGGAGGCUCAACCUUCGUCAGCUGCGCGAACUGGGGAGCUUGAGUGGACGGUAGGUACGCGGAAUUCGUGGUGUAGCGGUGAAAUGCUUAGAUAUCACGAAGAACCCCGAUUGCGAAGGCAGCGUACCGUUGUCUUACUGACGUUCAUGCUCGAAGGUGCGGGUAUC
rnacentral:rRNA from 1 species